AGAGUUUGAUCAUGGCUCAGGAUGAACGCUGGCGGCGUGCCUAAUACAUGCAAGUCGAACGAGGUGCUUUUGUAGCAAUACGAGAGUAUCCUAGUGGCGAACGGGUGAGUAACGCGUUGGUGACCUACCCCAAAGUGUGGGAUAACAGUCCGAAAGGAUUGCUAAUACCGCAUGUGGUCUUCGGAUUUAGAAACUGAUGACUAAAGGAGCAAUUCGCUUUGGGAGGGACCUGCGUCCCAUCAGCUAGUUGGUGAGGUAAUGGCUCACCAAGGCGACGACGGGUAGGGGACCUGAGAGGGUGGCCCCCCACAAUGGAACUGAAACACGGUCCGUACACCUACGGGUGGCAGCAGUAGGGAAUAUUGCACAAUGGGCGAAAGCCUGAUGCAGCAACGCCGCGUGUGCGAUGAAGGCCUUCGGGUCGUAAAGCACUUUUCUGAGAGAUGAGAAAGGACAGUAUCUCAGGAAUAAGUCUCGGCUAACUACGUGCCAGCAGCCGCGGUAAUAC
rnacentral:rRNA from 1 species